GACGAACGCUGGCGGCGUGCCUAAUACAUGCAAGUUGAGCGCUGAAGGUUGGUACUUGUACCAACUGGAUGAGCAGCGAACGGGUGAGUAACGCGUGGGGAAUCUGCCUUUGAGCGGGGGACAACAUUUGGAAACGAAUGCUAAUACCGCAUAAAAACUUUAAACACAAGUUUUAAGUUUGAAAGAUGCGAUUGCAUCACUCAAAGAUGAUCCCGCGUUGUAUUAGCUAGUUGGUGAGGUAAAGGCUCACCAAGGCGAUGAUACAUAGCCGACCUGAGAGGGUGAUCGGCCACAUUGGGACUGAGACACGGCCCAAACUCCUACGGGAGGCAGCAGUAGGGAAACUUCGGCAAUGGACGAAAGUCUGACCGAGCAACGCCGGGUGAGGGAAGAAGGGUUUCGGAUCGUAAAACUCUGUUGGUAGGGAAGAACGUUGGUGAGAGUGGAAAGCUCAUCAAGUGACGGUAACUACACAGAAAGGGACGGCUAACUACGUG
rnacentral:rRNA from 1 species